UUCCAAAGUAGUUUUUAUACCUUAAGUUGUGCAUAGAGGAUAAUAGGGGAAGGGAUGGUGUCAUGCAAGGACAGCAGUUCCUGAUCCUAAUCAAAGCCAGGCUUUCAAACUUAUCACAUGCAAGAGUUCAGGUGAAUUACAUCAUCUUCUGGCCAGGAGGCCUGUUAACAUUUUAAGAAACUUAUUUUUCUCUAAAGGUGAUUAUUCUAAAGUCAGGCGCCAGCCUCCAAAAAGCAUUGGACAAAGCUGCGUUCCUAUAGGGCAAAGGUGAGGUGGGCUCAAUCAAGAAAAGAAUUAACUCAAGGGUCCAAGGUUACAAACAUUGAGGCUUCUACUUACAUUUCUAUACACCCAUUAUAUCAAUCAAUACACUGCCAAGGACACAAUAGGUAAGGGGUAUGGAGACUUAGCAGCAAACAUUGGCCCAAUAAGUGAAAAACCCUUCACCGAUACAAUUUCUAAUCAAUCUUUUAACUGCUCAAAGGACUCUGUAUUUAGACAGUUUAGAACAUCUCAUGCCUCUCACAGUCUGAGCAAUCACAUGUGGCCGGAAAAACCUAUUCAGGCAGGCUAGAGGAUUUCCAAAGGAGUUUGUAGGUUGAAACACUAUCACACGCAGGAACUUUAUUAACUGGAGGUAUAAGUUAACUCCUUUUUCAGAGAGAGGUAGUGGGGGACAGCCCCCCGUAAAGUCAGAGGUGUAGGUGAGAGCACAAAGCAGAAAGUAGGCAGACUCUGGUUUGGGGGGCAGAUGCUCGAGAAUUUCCAGGGGGACUCCUGAGGCCCCAUCCCACCUUUGCGUAUGCCCAGCCUCCUUCCUCAUGACCUUUGCCACGGGCGGAGCUCCUGCUCCCGGCAGGCGGGGCCUCGGCGGGGGGCGGGGCGCCCCCUCUUCUGUGACCCGCUUCCGUUUCCUAAGGACAAAUACAUCCGUCCACGAGCUGCACGAAUUGCAGCCCUGGUCUCGGGAAGGGACAGAGCCCAGCGCACACCGGGGAGACUGGGGCAGAGUGCGGGGCAGACAGCGUGCGGGAGGCCAGGGACAGAGCCCUGGGGAACCGCCCACAGUGUCCCUGCAACGGGGGGGCCUGGGAGUGUCCUCCAGCCGGCCUCUUGGGGCCCGCCUCCGUCUCAGCGCCUCCUUACCAGGCACCUCCGGCGCCCAGCGCCCCAGACCCGUGCCCAGCCCGCUUUCCGGAGCCACAACGUAUUAAUUCUUACCGGCACUUGCCUGGCUCCUCCUCUACCCGCGGAGCGCUUCCAGAAGGUCCUGAAGUCGGAGCUUCGGAAACGCGCCCUCCCUUCUUUCCUGAACGGAUCUCUUUGAACGCCCGGGGGCAGGCCCUUUCCUCACUCCCUGCGCCGGGGAGGUGUCUGACGCAGGCACUCGCUGUGCCCUAGAGGGACGCCCAGGUCGAGUCCGAGGGCGCUUUCACCCGCAGGGUGUCCAUCUUACAGUUCCUCAGUUUCUACUCGCCGCUUCUACACCGCUUUCCGCAAGAGCCGGUUCGGCGGCUACCCCGGCAACUGCUACACCUUGCUCGGGGUCCGCAAGGAAGAGGAAGCCAAAGGCUGCUGGCAAGGGUUCCGGCUCUGCUCCCAGAAGAAGAAGGCAGGGGUUUCCCUGGAGGCCGGCAGGAGCUCUGGGAGGUGGACUACCAGAUUUUGCCCUUCGAGGGCCUAUUUGACAGGUACCUCGAGACGGACUUCCCUGGUGGCUCAGACGGUAAAGCGUCUGUCUACAAUGCGGGAGACCUGGGUUCAAUCCCUGGGUCAGGAAGAUCCCCUGGAGAAGGAAAUGGCAACCCACUCCAGUACUACUGCUUGGAAAAUCCCAUGGAUGGAGGAGCCUGGUAGGCUACAGUCCAUGGGGUCGAAAAGAGUCGGACCCUACUGAGCAACUUCACUUCACUUCUUCGAGAUAGGCAGGGGCCACGGUAGGUGCCAUGACCACCAGCGACAUGGGGAAGGGUAACUGCACCACCAAAGGGCCUGCCAGCCUCAGCAUUCCUGUCUGCAGCUGCCUUGAAACACAAUGUAAGGAUGGGUAUGACAGGGGGUCCCUGAUGGAGUCAGGCCUGGAGAGAUCAGGAAACGAAUGGUGGGGGCCAUGGCGGGGAGCACUCAAGAAAGGCUGGCUGAGGGCAGGAGGGGCAGCGCCCCAGGUCCAGGGACUCAGAGAGGACCUGGGGCCCCCAAUGGGGCUCACUUUGAGUGGCCUUCAUCUCCUCCAGCCCCUGAACACCGGGGCCAGAGCCCUGCGCAGGGCGUGAGGAGAGCAGUGAGGGUGCUCUGGCCGGGGCGAGGUUGCACGGAGGCAGCACUGGGGAACUGGGCUUCUCUGGACAGCUUUUCGAUGCCCACACUCUUUGCUGGACCCUCCAGUGCCCUUGCCAGGAGGGGGCCUGUGUUCGGGGUUUAUCCCCCGCAUGGAUGGGGUGGCUGCACUUUUUGAGGCCAGGGUCUGUGUCUCACGCAGCCCUUCUGUUUGAUGACAGAGGGGAGAACCGCUGCACAGUCAAAAGUGCUGCAUCUGAGCAAGGCAUUGCUCUGAGCCUCCGGCGGCCAGAGCAACAGGGUUGACGCCAGUGGCUUCGUUCUGCGGAGGAAGAGGGCAGAAGGCACACAGGGAGGGACAUGCUUCUUCAUAACGUGAGCGGGCGACCACUGGACGGAAGGCCGCCGGGCCCCAGGCUCUCCUUAGGAAUCUUACAUAAGAGCAAGGAGCCCCUUUCAAGGAGCCCCUUCCUAGAAUCUUGCCACGAGUCCACAGGGCGGGCACAGCCCGGGAAGGACAGUUAAAGUCCCAGACCACAGGCGGCAGGGGGAGGCCGGGGACCAGCCAGAAACACACCCAGCUCUGUGAGAGCAUUCCGGGGAGGCUUCCGGGAGAAGGGGGCCGUGCCUGGAGCCUGUGGGGUGGGUAAAAGCAGGGACUGUGGGCACAGGCAGGGGUGGUCCCACGCCUCCCUGAAGGGCGCGGUGAAGGGUUUACGGUGGGCAGUGUCUGGCCACUGGUCUCAGGUGCGCGUGGUCCUUAUCACCGGAUGAAACCCGGCGGGCGGAAGUCAGGGUAGCGCGCCGUGGCCACCGGAGGGCCUGACGGUGACCCUUAUCCCCGCAGUCCUGCAGUUCGGCUUCGUUACCACCUUCGGGGCCGCCUGCCCGCUCGCGCCACUCUUCGCGCUGCUCAGCAAUUGGGUGGAGAUCCACCUGGACGCGCGCCAGUUCAUCCGCCGGGUGGCCGAGCGCGCGCUGGACAUGGGCAUCUGGUUCCGCAUGCUGGAGGCAUCCCGCACCUGGCGGGCAUCAGCAACGUGAGCUCGGGGCGCGGCGGGGGCGGUCACCUGGGAGAGCGGGCCGGCCGGGGCGCGCGGCCGCGCGCUCACUCGCCGGCGGCCCGGGCGUUCCUGCUGGCCUUCUCGGCCCCCUUCCUGCCGCGCGCCCACUACCAGUGGAGCCCGGCCAGCGACCUGCGCCGCUUCGCCGGCUUCACGCUGGCGCCACCCAGCCCGCCUUCAGCGUUGCAAGCAGCCGCCCUUGCGGGUACCAGGCCUUCGGGGAGGAUGAUGGACAUUAUUCCCGGACCUACUGGACUCUAGGGCCAUCUGUUCGGCCUUCGUCACGGUGUUCGUGGUGCCGAGGGCCGCCGGAUGCUGGGCCCCGCUCCUACCCCAGGGCUCCACCCAAGCACGUGGUGUUCUGCACUGGCGGCUCCCCGAUCUCAUGGAAACCGACAUCCCUGAAUCUGUGGCGAGCAGGUGAAGCGGGAGAACUACAGUGCCAAGCAGACGCUGGCUGAGAUCUAGGCUCUUUUUGGAACAACUGGAGCAAAAGAGAACCAAGCCUUGGGCUCAGAGAUGAGUCCGGGCCCAGAGCCUAGGUUGCCAGGAGCUGGAGUCACAGCUCGCCCCUCAGGAGGCGGCUUAGGGCCCUGGAGGAGGGGUGGGGGGUGAUGCUGUCAAAGGCUUCCCACCUCAGAGGCCACCGGCCCCUCCCGGCCCCUCUGCCUCCCAGGCUCUGGCCCUGUCCACAGCCUCUGAGCAGCCCUUCCAGCGCUUCCUGUGGCAGCACCGGGCUCCCGCCAGCCUGGGGCCAGCAGCAGCCUCGCGGUGGCCAGUGCCUCGAUGGGGAAGGUUUGGAGGGAGAAUGAACUUUAUUCCUUGAAGCAAUCGGAGGAAAGGACAUUCACUCCCGUGUUGGUAGAUCUCCUUCUCCAAGUCUUCCCGUCUGUCUGCAUGGGGUUGUCUUCAGGACGGGGAGCUUCACGGCACCUGCAGCUGGACUUCACCCACCGCCUGUCUUCGUGAGCGCCCUGCGUCUGCCUCCUCUGAGCGCCGAUCACACAGCACCCCCAGCCUUGCCGGCUGCUCACUGUCCUCUGCUCUCUGGCUGCAAGCCCCGCGGCACAGACGCCAGGAGACAGUGUCCACUUGCGACUCCCUCAGGGGAGCGCUCCUCAGGGCGCACAGCACUGUGAAAACGGACACGUGGUUUUUAAACUGCUUGGACGCACUGCAGUCCGCCGAGCUCCUCCCCAGAACUGCCAGUCGACGCCUUCAUAAAACCCACAGAUUUCAAAGCUAAGGCCAAGGGAUGGAUGGUAGCUACGGACACAUGUGACACGGAAGACAUUCGAAGAGGAGCUGGACACAGGUCAGGUGCUCGCAGCCCCAGAGGCCGCAGGGCACAGGCCGGGUCAGCCACCAUGUGACCUUCGACCACCAUCAGCCCAGGCACAGUGAGGGCCGGGGCUUCGCAACAAACGCACACGCGCCAAGUCUCUCAUGGGAAGGGAGCUGACCCGGGAGAGGCCCCGAGACCCUGCGGACAGAGGAGGGGCUCCCAGGGACAGGCACCCCUGGGGAGGCGGGAGGGCACCCUUCUGCCCUCCCCGGCCAUCGGCUCCGCCUUGUCUGGGGCCGCACACAGGCCCCGUCGGCCCCACUUUACGGACGGGCAUGUUCAAGGCCACGUGGGCCAGCGGGGACUUGCAGUGGGGAGACUACUCUUGGUCUGUUCAGGAAAUGCAGUCAAGGUGACUGAGCCUGAGUUAAUAAAUGAGACAAAACCCCCCAUGGGGUGGGGGUGGGGC
ensembl:lncRNA